rnacentral:rRNA from 1 species
AGUGAACGCUGGCGGUAGGCCUAACACAUGCAAGUCGAACGGCAGCACAGUAAGAGCUUGCUCUUACGGGUGGCGAGUGGCGGACGGGUGAGGAAUACAUCGGAAUCUACUUUUUCGUGGGGGACAACGUAGGGAAACUUACGCUAAUACCGCAUACGACCUACGGGUGAAAGCAGGGGAUCUUCGGACCUUGCGCGAUUGAAUGAGCCGAUGUCGGAUUAGCUAGUUGGCGGGGUAAAGGCCCACCAAGGCGACGAUCCGUAGCUGGUCUGAGAGGAUGAUCAGCCACACUGGAACUGAGACACGGUCCAGACUCCUACGGGAGGCAGCAGUGGGGAAUAUUGGACAAUGGGCGCAAGCCUGAUCCAGCCAUACCGCGUGGGUGAAGAAGGCCUUCGGGUUGUAAAGCCCUUUUGUUGGGAAAGAAAAGCAGCAGGUUAAUACCCCGCUAUUCUGACGGUACCCAAAGAAUAAGCACCGGCUAACUUCGUG